AAAUGAAUAGACGGGGGCCCGCACAAGCGGCGGAGCAUGCGGAUUAAUUCGAUGCAACGCGAAGAACCUUACCUGGGUUUGACAUACAGAGUUAACUUCUAGAGAUAGAAGGUCCGUAAGGGUUCUGUACAGGUGGUGCAUGGCUGUCGUCAGCUCGUGUCGUGAGAUGUUGGGUUAAGUCCCGCAACGAGCGCAACCCUUGUCCUAUGUUGCCAGCACGCCCUUUGGGGUGGUGGGGACUCAUGGGAGACUGCCGGGGUCAACUCGGAGGAAGGUGGGGAUGAGGUCAAGUCAUCAUGCCCCUUAUGUCCAGGGCUUCACGCAUGCUACAAUGGCCGGUACAGAGGGCUGCGAUCCUGUGAGGGUGAGCGAAUCCCUUAAAGCCGGUCUCAGUUCGGAUUGGGGUCUGCAACUCGACCCCAUGAAGUCGGAGUCGCUAGUAAUCGCAGAUCAGCAACGCUGCGGUGAAUACGUUCCCGGGCCUUGUACACACCGCCCGU
rnacentral:rRNA from 1 species